ACGGAGGGUGCAAGCGUUAUUCGGAAUUACUGGGCGUAAAGCGCACGCAGGCGGUUUGUUAAGUCAGAUGUGAAAUCACCGGGCUUAACCUGGGAACUGCAUCUGAUACUGGCUAGCUUGAGUCUCGUAGAGGGGGGUAGAAUUCCAGGUGUAGCGGUGAAAUGCGUAGAGAUCUGGAGGAACACCGAUGGCGAAGGCAGCCGACUGGACGAAGACUGACGCUCAGGUGCGAAAGCGUGGGUAGCAAACAG
rnacentral:rRNA from 1 species